UACGUAGGGGGCAAGCGUUGCCCGGAAUCAUUGGGCGUAAAGAGCGUGUAGGCGGCCCGAUAAGUCCGCUGUGAAAGUCCAGGGCUCAACCCUGGGAUGCCGGUGGAUACUGUCGGGCUCGAGUCCGGAAGAGGAGUGUGGAAUUCCUGGUGUAGCGGUGAAAUGCGCAGAUAUCAGGAGGAACACCAAUGGCGAAGGCAGCACUCUGGGACGUGACUGACGCUGAGACGCGAAAGCGUGGGGAGCAAACAGG
rnacentral:rRNA from 1 species